rnacentral:rRNA from 1 species
UACAGAGGGGGCAAGCGUUGUUCGGAAUUACUGGGCGUAAAGGGCGCGUAGGCGGCCUGUUAAGUCGAACGUGAAAUCCCCGGGCUCAACCCGGGAACUGCGUCCGAUACUGGCAGGCUUGAAUCCGGGAGAGGGAUGCGGAAUUCCAGGUGUAGCGGUGAAAUGCGUAGAUAUCUGGAGGAACACCGGUGGCGAAGGCGGCAUCCUGGACCGGCAUUGACGCUGAGGCGCGAAAGCCAGGAGAGCAAACGGG